rnacentral:rRNA from 1 species
GAUGAACGCUAGCGGCAGGCCUAAUACAUGCAAGUCGAACGAGAUUAAGAGGCUUGCUUCUUAUGGAAGUGGCGCACGGGUGCGUAACGCGUAUGCAACCUACCUUAAUCAGGGGGAUAGCCCGAAGAAAUUCGGAUUAAGACCGCAUAAAAACACAGGAUAGCAUUAUCCAAUGUUCAAAUAUUUAUAGGAUUAAGAUGGGCAUGCGUGUCAUUAGCUAGUUGGCGGGGUAACGGCCCACCAAGGCGACGAUGACUAGGGGAUCUGAGAGGAUGACCCCCCACACUGGUACUGAGACACGGACCAGACUCCUACGGGAGGCAGCAGUAAGGAAUAUUGGUCAAUGGAGGGAACUCUGAACCAGCCAUGCCGCGUGCAGGAAGACAGCCCUCUGGGUCGUAAACUGCUUUUAUUCGGGAAUAAACCUUUCUACGUGUAGGAAGCUGAAUGUACCGAAGGAAUAAGGAUCGGCUAACUCCGUG